ACCGAUGCUAAGUUUAAAAGAAUACGAGACCUAUUUUCGAGGAAGUGGGGAAUCAAGAGUAGAGGGCUGCAUUAAGUCUGGACUUUUUUAAACUCUUUUAUGAGAUUUAUUUAAGUAAAAAUCGUGAAAAAUGAGACUUGAAACCUCCAUUUCGUAUUGAUUGGUUGUUGUCAGUUUAACAUCCAGCGGCAAAUAUUUCAUACUAAUUCAGGAGGAGAAUAAAUUAACAAAUUGAAUUAUUCAUGCG
rnacentral:lncRNA from 1 species